CACUACUAUUUUCUCUUUGCUGCUUUCCAUUUUACUCCUUCAGCUUUCCUUAGCUUUGCAUUUUCCGACGAGAAAAAAAGCAAUAAAAUGUCACUGUGGCAACAUAUCCGGAGCCGCCAUGAGGAAAAAGGCGUUAUCUAUGCCGUCUUGUUUACAUGUUGUUGCUGUUUCUGCUGCUACGAGACUUUAGAGUUUAUAUUGGAGAAUGGGAUACGUUUCGUGCCUUUCCUUUAAGCUAAUGUUUUAAUUUCCACUCUCAUCAUCACUUGCUCUUGUUUCGGGGAAUUAGAUCACCCCAUCUUAAUUAUUGUAAAAUAAUGCAAGUGUUAUCCACCAGUAACUUAUGCAGUUUAGUUUGCUGCUAAAAUUUAUUUA